UACGUAGGGUGCAAGCGUUGUCCGGAAUUAUUGGGCGUAAAGAGCUCGUAGGCGGUUUGUUGCGUCGGCUGUGAAAUCCCGAGGCUCAACCUCGGGUCUGCAGUCGAUACGGGCAGACUAGAGUCAGGUAGGGGAGAACGGAAUUCCUGGUGUAGCGGUGAAAUGCGCAGAUAUCAGGAGGAACACCGGUGGCGAAGGCGGUUCUCUGGGCCUGUACUGACGCUGAGGAACGAAAGCGUGGGGAGCGAACAGG
rnacentral:rRNA from 1 species